UGGGGAAUAUUGGACAAUGGGCGAAAGCCUGAUCCAGCAACGCCGCGUGAGGGAUGACGGCCUUCGGGUUGUAAACCUCUUUCAGCGCAGACGAAGCGAGAGUGACGGUAUGCGCAGAAGAAGCACCGGCCAACUACGUGCCAGCAGCCGCGGUAAUACGUAGGGUGCGAGCGUUGUCCGGAAUUAUUGGGCGUAAAGGGCUCGUAGGCGGUUUGUCGCGUCAGGAGUGAAAACUCGGGGCUCAACCCCGAGCCUGCUUCUGAUACGGGCAGACUAGAGGUAUGCAGGGGAGAACGGAAUUCCUGGUGUAGCGGUGAAAUGCGCAGAUAUCAGGAGGAACACCGGUGGCGAAGGCGGUUCUCUGGGCAUUACCUGACGCUGAGGAGCGAAAGUGUGGGGA
rnacentral:rRNA from 1 species